GGAGAGGUGUCUGAGUGGUCUAAGGAGCUCGCCUGGAAAGUGAGUGAGGGGAUCAAACUCCUCCAUGGGUUCAAAUCCCAUCCUCUCCGCCA
rnacentral:tRNA from 1 species